AGCCCCGUAGUGUAGUGGUCAACAUAAGAGAUUCUGGAUCUCUUGUCAUCAGUUCGAAUCUGAUCGGGGCUG
rnacentral:tRNA from 2 species